UGGGAAGGGACGACGACAUGGUGAAGCGGAAAGAUAUCUGAGCUUUCUGACUCCGCCCUUCUUUCCGGGAGCCGAAGGCGUUGCCUGGUGACCUCCUUAGGGCGUUCUAUGCUUUUGGGUUUGGGCUGUGGUGCGCACACUUUUAAUUUUUAGGAGUUUGUGUGUGUGCAUUUCUUUCCUCUUCGAGACGGGGCUCAGGAAUAUGUGUGUAUUUUUAAUUUGGGAAGAAAGAGCUGAGGGACGAAGGACGACAUGGGGAGGCCAGAUUAAGUGUGUUGUUGAAAAAAAUAGGUACCAGUACCGUAAAAGAGGGGAUUUAACACCAAAACUGUAAAACGAUAUACUCCAGAAUAAAGAACAGCACGUCCAAGAAUGGUCAGCUUGUAAUCUUACAUCGACAUAGACAUUGUUUUUCUCAUAUGAAUGCAGAGUUUGAAACUUUAUCAAAGAAUUAGAAACCACAGCUACAGUGAGCACUACAUACUUUAUCUCUUUAAUCUCCACAACAGCUUAGUUCUAGGACAUUAGUAUUGUUUUUAUUUUACAAAUGAUAAAACAAGCUCGAAAGGGCUAACUUGAUCAAGUUUCCACAGGUAGUGUCAAAACUCAAUUUGAAUACCUCUGAAACCUGUAGAUGCACUCAUCAAAUAUGUAUUGAAUGGAAUCUACAGUGAGACAGGGCAUUAGGUAGCAAGUACAGAGAGAAAUGAGAUUGCUCCUGCUGGUGGUUACCUUGAAUUUUACAAAUGACCUUGGAGCCUUUCUGAUACUUGUGUGUCUUAGUGGUCCUCAGUAAUAAAAUCAACAGACUUAUUCUUUCCUUGGAGUUCAUGACCCUGAUGAUCAAGUAGCUGAGAAUAGUGGAAUAAAACUCUUGACUUGAAUUCAGGAAAAUUGUUCUCAAAUCCAACCUUAAAAAAUCUAAAUUUAGGCACUCAAUAAAUAUUUGAUGAAUGAAUGAAUGAAACCUAACUGGCUAUAAGACCUGAUUUCACUGAGUCUCAAUUUCAUCAUCUGUAAAAUGACCUAAUCCCUACCUCCUGGGAGUGUAAGGGGGAGUGCUUUGUAAAUUGCAAAUAUGUUAUAAAGAGGUUAGUGAUAAGACAUUUUCAGACAUGAGAAAUGGCAUAAGAAAUUAAAAAUGGAAACUCAAAAUAGUAUGUUGAGAUAGAUAAGUUGAACUUGUGAAAAAAUGUGAAAAAACUAGGUAAGUCUACAAAUAUGUGAAAAAACUAGGUAAGUCUACAAAUAUUUACUGAGCAUUUAUUCCAUAUACUGUAUUUGCAAAAGAUGUCAAAAUGUGUAGAAAGCAGCACAAAUUAGUAUUAUUAUUAAAAGUAUUUAUUGACAGCACAUAGGGGCUGUAUUUGGUUUCUUUCCAAGAGCCUGAAAUCAGGUUGCCCUCAGAAUUAAACUAAUAAAAAUUUACAUAGUAGAGGAUAUUAGCCAACAUAUUUAACAACAGGUAGUUCUCAAGCAUCAAUCUAACAGAUUUGAAGUCCUGGAGCUAUCCUGUGCUAGGCGUGCUAGGUGUGCUAGGUGUUAACCCCUCAGUUGCUAGUUUGUGAAUAGUAGGUCCGAGAGAAUCCCAGGGGAUGGGAGUUGUCAGGAGGUUUGGGACAGCAGCUAAUUUACCAGCUAGUAUGAAAGUAUUUCACUAUUUUGGUAGACUAACUGAUAAUAGUUAUUAUAAUACAUUAUAUUAUAAUAUCUGGCCUGUCCCUAGGAGAUUAUACUUCUUACUCUAAUGUCAUCAACCUUGGUCUUGUUUUAAUCAAUGAAAUGUGAAUAGAAAUGGCAUGAACCACUUGUGAGCAGAAAUACAUAGGCUAUCUCAUGAUUCUGCCAUAUUUUUUUUCCUCAUCGUGAGAGCAGCAUAUCCCAAAUAGAGGUGUUUCAGCUUUGGUCCCAGAGUGAAGAUGUGCAUAGCCACAGCUGACACAUGUAAUAUGUAAAAUUGUAGAAUCAUCCUUCAUUUGUAUGUCGUGCUGGGCCAGGAGGGUAUGCGGCCACGAGAAUGCAUUUCUCAUGUCUCUAACUGGGGGAAGUAUAAUUCACCAACAGCCCAGCUGUUCAGUUCUGAAAUCCACGCUAAGCUUUGAAAUCCAUCACCCUUAACUCCUAGGCCUCACUUCCCACAGACUACUCCUGGCCAGUGACUAAGCACAGCAGGAGUUUUAGGAUAGGCUUUUUUCCUCCUCUGGUGGAUGACUUUGGCUCAAGGACUCCUCAAAGACCUUACCAAACUUUUCUUAGAGCCACACUGCAGUCUAAAGCACUUCCACCUUGAACUCCUUCCUUCUCUUUCUCCUUUACUUAGGGUCAGAGCUAUAUCACUGUCUGAUGGUUAUCUCUGAGUCUUCCCUGGCUCCUGCACAUUUUCUCUCAUGGAUGUUUUCCAUAAUAAAUUUUUCACAUUUAA